AGAGUUUGAUCCUGGCUCAGGACGAACGCUGGCGGCGUGGAUUAGGCAUGCAAGUCGCACGAGAAACAUUCCUUCGGGAAUGCGGACAGUGGCGAACUGGUGAGUAACACGUGAACAACCUGCCCUUACAUUCCGGAUAGCCGGCCGAAAGGUCGGAUAAUACGGGCGAGGAUCGCACCAAGGCAUCUUGGAGCGAAGGAGGCGCAAGCCGUGCAAGGAGGGGUUCGCGGACUAUCAGGUAGUUGGUGGGGUAACGGCCUACCAAGCCGACGACGGAUAGCUGGUCUGAGAGGAUGGUCAGCCACACUGGGACUGAGACACUGCCCAGACUCCUACGGGAGGCUGCAGUCGAGAAUCUUGGACAAUGUACGAAAGUAUGAUCCAGCGACGCCGCGUGGAGGAUGAAGGAGCUAUGCUUCGUAAACUCCUUUUAUGAGGGAAGAAGAUCUGACGGUACUCAUGAAUAAGCCACGGCUAACUACGUGCCAGCAGCCGCGGUAAUACGUAGGUGGCAAGCGUUGUCCGGAAUUACUGGGCGUAAAGGGUGUGUAGGCGGAUGUUUAAGUAGAAAGUGAAAGGUUGGAGCUUAACUCCAACAUUGCUUCCUAUACUGGAUAUCUUGAGUUUCGGAGAGGAAGAUGGAACGACACGUGUAGCGGUGAAAUGCGUUGAUAUGUGUCGGAACACCAAUAGCGAAGGCAAUCUUCUGGACGAAACUGACGCUGAGACACGAAAGCAUGGGUAGCGAACAGGAUUAGAUACCCUGGUAGUCCAUGCCCUAAACGAUGUUCACUAGGUGUCGGGGAUUUUUCUUCGGUGCCGCAGCUAACGCAUUAAGUGAACCGCCUGGGGACUACGACCGCAAGGUUGAAACUCAAAGGAAUUGGCGGGGGCCCGCACAAGCGGUGGAGCAUGUGGCUUAAUUCGAUGCAACGCGAAGAACCUUACCAGGGUUUGACAUGUAGCUGCAAGCGCCGAAAUGCAGUCGCUUUC
rnacentral:rRNA from 1 species